rnacentral:rRNA from 1 species
UGGCAGCAGCCGCGGUAACACCGGCAGCUCUAGUGGUAGCUGUUUUAUUGGCCUAAAGCGUUCGUAGCCGGUUUAAUAAGUCUCUGGUGAAAUCCUAUAGCUUAACUGUGGGAAUUGCUGGAGAUACUAUUAGACUUGAGAUCGGGAGAGGUCAGAGGUACUCCUGGGGUAGGGGUGAAAUCCUGUAAUCCUAGGAGGACCACCUGUGGCGAAGGCGUCUGACUAGAACGAAUCUGACGGUGAGGAACGAAAGCUAGGGGCGCGAACCGGAUUAGAUACCCGGGUAGUCCUAGCCGUAAACUAUGCGGACUUGGUGUGAGGGUGGCUUUGAGCCGUCCUGGUGCCGAAGGGAAGCUGUUAAGUCCGCCGCCUGGGAAGUACGGUCGCAAGACUGAACUUAAAGGAAUUGGCGGGGGAGCACCACAACGCGUGGAGCCUGCGGUUUAAUUGGAUUCAACGCCGGAGAUCUCACCAGCGGCGACAGCAGUAUGAUGACCAGGUUGAUGACUUUGUUUGACAAGCUGAGAGGUGGUGCAUGG